UGCUGAUGGCAGGCCCCAGGGCUGACAUCUGCCUUGACACAGGGCUCACUGGAGCCAGGAGAGAUGCUGCCCCUGAAGCUCAAGUG